UACGAAGGGGGCUAGCGUUGUUCGGAAUCACUGGGCGUAAAGCGCACGUAGGCGGAUUGUUAAGUCGGGGGUGAAAUCCUGAGGCUCAACCUCAGAACUGCCUUCGAUACUGGCAAUCUCGAGUCCGGAAGAGGUUGGUGGAACAGCUAGUGUAGAGGUGAAAUUCGUAGAUAUUAGCUAGAACACCAGUGGCGAAGGCGGCCAACUGGUCCGGUACUGACGCUGAGGUGCGAAAGCGUGGGGAGCGAACAGG
rnacentral:rRNA from 1 species